UACGUAGGGUGCGAGCGUUAAUCGGAUUUACUGGGCGUAAAGCGUGCGCAGGCGGUUCGUUAAGUCAGAUGUGAAAGCCCCGGGCUCAACCUGGGAACUGCAUUUGAAACUGGCGGGCUUGAGUAUGGCAGAGGGGGGUGGAAUUCCGCGUGUAGCAGUGAAAUGCGUAGAGAUGCGGAGGAACACCGAUGGCGAAGGCAGCCCCCUGGGCCAAUACUGACGCUCAGGCACGAAAGCGUGGGGAGCAAACAGG
rnacentral:rRNA from 1 species